GGCGUCGAGCGGCGGACGGGUGAGUAAUGCCUAGGAAAUUGCCCUGAUGUGGGGGAUAACCAUUGGAAACGAUGGCUAAUACCGCAUGAUGCCUACGGGCCAAAGAGGGGGACCUUCGGGCCUCUCGCGUCAGGAUAUGCCUAGGUGGGAUUAGCUAGUUGGUGAGGUAAUGGCUCACCAAGGCGACGAUCCCUAGCUGGUCUGAGAGGAUGAUCAGCCACACUGGAACUGAGACACGGUCCAGACUCCUACGGGAGGCAGCAGUGGGGAAUAUUGCACAAUGGGCGCAAGCCUGAUGCAGCCAUGCCGCGUGUGUGAAGAAGGCCUUCGGGUUGUAAAGCACUUUCAGUCGUGAGGAAGGUGGUAGUGUUAAUAGCACUAUCAUUUGACGUUAGCGACAGAAGAAGCACCGGCUAACUCCGUGCCAGCAGCCGCGGUAAUACGGAGGGUGCGAGCGUUAAUCGGAAUUACUGGGCGUAAAGCGCAUGCAGGUGGUUUGUUAAGUCAGAUGUGAAAGCCCGGGGCUCAACCUCGGAAUAGCAUUUGAAACUGGCAGACUAGAGUACUGUAGAGGGGGGUAGAAUUUCAGGUGUAGCGGUGAAAUGCGUAGAGAUCUGAAGGAAUACCGGUG
rnacentral:rRNA from 1 species